GAUGAACGCUGGCGGCGUGCCUAAUACAUGCAAGUCGAGCGAAUGGAUUAAGAGCUUGCUCUUAUGAAGUUAGCGGCGGACGGGUGAGUAACACGUGGAUAACCUGCCCAUAAGACUGGGAUAACUCCGGGAAACCGGGGCUAAUACCGGAUAACAUUUUGAACCGCAUGGUUCGAAAUUGAAAGGCGGCUUCGGCUGUCACUUAUGGAUGGACCCGCGUCGCAUUAGCUAGUUGGUGAGGUAACGGCUCACCAAGGCAACGAUGCGUAGCCGACCUGAGAGGGUGAUCGGCCACACUGGGACUGAGACACGGCCCAGAGUCCUACGGGAGGCAGCAGUAGGGAAUCUUCCGCAAUGGACGAAAGUCUGACGGAGCAACGCCGCGUGAGUGAUGAAGGCUUUCGGGUCGUAAAACUCUGUUGUUAGGGAAGAACAAGUGCUAGUUGAAUAAGCUGACACCUUGACGGUACCUAACCAGAAAGCCACGGCUAACUACGUGCCAGCAGCCGCAGUAA
rnacentral:rRNA from 1 species